ensembl:lncRNA novel transcript
GGAUGCUGACGCAGGCCUGAGUCCGGAAAAGACCCGCACAUCUGGGGCCCAAGUGGCCCAUUUCCCCAGAGGCGAGCAAGGACUCUCAGGAAUCGUCAUCCUUCCCAUGAAAUCCUGGAAACUGCUUAACUCCUUUAAGGAUCUUUCCAAAGGUCUUCAAUUUUGAUAUAAGCAACAAAGAAUAAGAGUACUCAUGAUGUGUGACAAAUGGCAUGCCUCCUGCAAGAGUUAUGAGUUAUGUGCCUAAACAGGAAGGAUCAUCUCAUUGCAGAAUUAGGGCAUCAUCCAGUGGGAAGGGAGUUUCAAGGUCAUUUAGUCCAGCCUCCGAGUGAUACAGAAAUUCUCUUUGCAGCAUCCCUAUCACGUGGCCAUCAAACUUCUACUAGUGUAUUCAUCCACACCUGGUCUGUCUAAAACCUUGAGAACAGCCCCUUGUAUAGUUCAAUAGCCCCAGCUGAAGGAAAAGUUUUUGUUAUUUUCAGUAAACAUAUUCUGUUGUGUAACUUUGGUUGAUCGGUUCCCCUUUAGCGACCCAGAAAACACUGAGCUCCCUCUGACACCCAUGCCCUUUGACUGAAAGUCAGCCAUAAAAUAGAGCACCAGAGUAACUUUCCAGAGUCCCAGAUUUGCCCCUUCGCUCCACUGCAAAUCAAAUGUGUGACCUGUGUUUCAAUUCAAUUAGCCUUUUCCUAAGGGUUUCACUGUUUCUGUUCCUGUGAGUUUCUUUUUUAAAGAUCUGUAUUUGUAUAUUUCAAGUGGAAUUUUUUUUUUUUUUAGCAAACCACAACAUUUUAUUUUAAAUUGAGAGAUAUGGUUUGAUUUUUAUUUUUAUUGUGGAAAAUUUCAAACAUACAAGAGUAGAUAUAAUAUAGUAAUGAAUGC